UUAAGUUAUUAAGGGCGCACGGUGGAUGCCUUGGCACUAGAAGCCGAUGAAGGACGUUACUAACGACGAUAUGCUUUGGGGAGCUGUAAGUAAGCUUUGAUCCAGAGAUUUCCGAAUGGGGAAACCCAGCAUGAGUUAUGUCAUGUUAUCGAUAUGUGAAUACAUAGCAUAUCAGAAGGCACACCCGGAGAACUGAAACAUCUUAGUACCCGGAGGAAGAGAAAGAAAAUUCGAUUCCCUUAGUAGCGGCGAGCGAAACGGGAAGAGCCCAAACCAACAAGCUUGCUUGUUGGGGUUGUAGGACACUCUAUACGGAGUUACAAAGGACGACAUUAGACGAAUCAUCUGGAAAGAUGAAUCAAAGAAGGUAAUAAUCCUGUAGUCGAAAAUGUUGUCUCUCUUGAGUGGAUCCUGAGUACGACGGAGCACGUGAAAUUCCGUCGGAAUCUGGGAGGACCAUCUCCUAAGGCUAAAUACUCUCUAGUGACCGAUAGUGAACCAGUACCGUGAGGGAAAGGUGAAAAGCACCCCGGAAGGGGAGUGAAAUAGAACCUGAAACCGUGUGCUUACAAGUAGUCAGAGCCCGUUAAUGGGUGAUGGCGUGCCUUUUGUAGAAUGAACCGGCGAGUUACGAUUUGAUGCAAGGUUAAGCAGUAAAUGUGGAGCCGUAGCGAAAGCGAGUCUGAAUAGGGCGUUUAGUAUUUGGUCGUAGACCCGAAACCAGGUGAUCUACCCUUGGUCAGGUUGAAGUUCAGGUAACACUGAAUGGAGGACCGAACCGACUUACGUUGAAAAGUGAGCGGAUGAACUGAGGGUAGCGGAGAAAUUCCAAUCGAACCUGGAGAUAGCUGGUUCUCUCCGAAAUAGCUUUAGGGCUAGCCUCAAGUGAUGAUUAUUGGAGGUAGAGCACUGUUUGGACGAGGGGCCCCUCUCGGGUUACCGAAUUCAGACAAACUCCGAAUGCCAAUUAAUUUAACUUGGGAGUCAGAACAUGGGUGAUAAGGUCCGUGUUCGAAAGGGAAACAGCCCAGACCACCAGCUAAGGUCCCAAAAUAUAUGUUAAGUGGAAAAGGAUGUGGCGUUGCCCAGACAACUAGGAUGUUGGCUUAGAAGCAGCCAUCAUUUAAAGAGUGCGUAAUAGCUCACUAGUCGAGUGACACUGCGCCGAAAAUGUACCGGGGCUAAACAUAUUACCGAAGCUGUGGAUUGUCCUUUGGACAAUGGUAGGAGAGCGUUCUAAGGGCGUUGAAGCAUGAUCGUAAGGACAUGUGGAGCGCUUAGAAGUGAGAAUGCCGGUGUGAGUAGCGAAAGACGGGUGAGAAUCCCGUCCACCGAUUGACUAAGGUUUCCAGAGGAAGGCUCGUCCGCUCUGGGUUAGUCGGGUCCUAAGCUGAGGCCGACAGGCGUAGGCGAUGGAUAACAGGUUGAUAUUCCUGUACCACCUAUAAUCGUUUUAAUCGAUGGGGGGACGCAGUAGGAUAGGCGAAGCGUGCGAUUGGAUUGCACGUCUAAGCAGUAAGGCUGAGUAUUAGGCAAAUCCGGUACUCGUUAAGGCUGAGCUGUGAUGGGGAGAAGACAUUGUGUCUUCGAGUCGUUGAUUUCACACUGCCGAGAAAAGCCUCUAGAUAGAAAAUAGGUGCCCGUACCGCAAACCGACACAGGUAGUCAAGAUGAGAAUUCUAAGGUGAGCGAGCGAACUCUCGUUAAGGAACUCGGCAAAAUGACCCCGUAACUUCGGGAGAAGGGGUGCUCUUUAGGGUUAACGCCCAGAAGAGCCGCAGUGAAUAGGCCCAAGCGACUGUUUAUCAAAAACACAGGUCUCUGCUAAACCGUAAGGUGAUGUAUAGGGGCUGACGCCUGCCCGGUGCUGGAAGGUUAAGAGGAGUGGUUAGCUUCUGCGAAGCUACGAAUCGAAGCCCCAGUAAACGGCGGCCGUAACUAUAACGGUCCUAAGGUAGCGAAAUUCCUUGUCGGGUAAGUUCCGACCCGCACGAAAGGCGUAACGAUUUGGGCACUGUCUCAACGAGAGACUCGGUGAAAUCAUAGUACCUGUGAAGAUGCAGGUUACCCGCGACAGGACGGAAAGACCCCGUGGAGCUUUACUGUAGCCUGAUAUUGAAAUUCGGCACAGCUUGUACAGGAUAGGUAGGAGCCUUUGAAACGUGAGCGCUAGCUUACGUGGAGGCGCUGGUGGGAUACUACCCUAGCUGUGUUGGCUUUCUAACCCGCACCACUUAUCGUGGUGGGAGACAGUGUCAGGCGGGCAGUUUGACUGGGGCGGUCGCCUCCUAAAAGGUAACGGAGGCGCUCAAAGGUUCCCUCAGAAUGGUUGGAAAUCAUUCAUAGAGUGUAAA
rnacentral:rRNA from 18 species